rnacentral:lncRNA from 1 species
ACACUGGCCUUCCAUAGCACCAAUCAUACUGCCUCUCUCGCCCGUAGCCAAGCUGGUAACACGGUCCCCCACCACGCCCCUCAGAACAUUCCGUGCAACAUGCCCUAACAGGUGAGUAACACGGUCCACCACCACGCCCCUCGGAACAUUCCCUGCAACAUGCCCUAACAGGUGAGUAACACGGUCCCCCACCACGCCCCUCGGAACAUUCCCUGCAACAUGUCCUAAUUGGUGAGUAACACGGUCCCCCACCACGCCCCUCGGAACAUUCCCUGCAACAUGUCCUAACGGGUAGGUAACACGGAACGGGCUCCGGAGCCGGUGCCGGUGCCGGAGGCGGCGGUGGGGCUGGUGAUGGUUUUGGUUGGGGAGCCGGUGCCGGGGGUGGUGGCGAUGGUGAAGGUUUCGGUGGUGGUGGUGACGGUUUUGGUUCCGGAGCCGGUGCCGGCGGUGGUUUUGGUUUUGGCGGCGGCGGCGGCUUUGGCUUUGGUGGUUCCAGGAUUUCAAUAGUCUUGAUUGAACCAUCACCUUUGCAGCAUAGCUUGUCCCUGAUCUUUUCAGGACUGCAGCACACUACUUUUAUUGUCACCGUAUUCGUCUUCUCAUCGAAAAACUGUUCUUGUAUUUCUUUGGUCAAAAAGUUCAAACACAAUAUCUUAGCCCACCAUCCGCCAGCCAUUUUUUUAUUUGCAAACACAAAAUAAACAAUUCUACUUGCGCCUCACCAAAUGACACGCGAAUUCAGAAUUUUAUGCCAUUAUAAAACAUUUUACGAAACCAUAAUAUAUAAUAUAUGUAAAUGGACAUGGCCAGCGAUCAGAGAGACACUUACGUGGGAAUUUGCACAGUACUUUCUUGACUUUCUUGUAGCACUUUGAGCACUGAAGGUUAACCUUCAGCACCAUUAUUGUAACCUUCUGUAAACAAUAGUACACAGAUAAUACAAAAGUAUUUUUCAGCAGGCUAAUUAAUUAAAGAUAAAAGAGAGACAUUUAAUUAAUUUCUGACAUGAAAGAAUCAGCAAGGUAACUAUAUAUCUCCGUGUAUAUAUACACUAUAAGCUAUCAUCACGAAAGAUCGAUCGAUGCACAGCACAAACUUAACCAAAAGGGGAAUUACGAACCUUCUCUCCCAUAGCUGCUCGGAUCUGAACCUCAGGAAACCGGACACUGAUUAUUUGAAGCGUUAAUGUGACAGCAGGUAUGGAAAAGGGUCUUAUAAAUAAGUGCGCCAAUUUGAAACUUGUUUAAGAAGGGAAGGAAAAGUAAGGGCUUGAAUUCCGUACAUUAUACAUAACCAAUUAUCUGCCGACACGUCUUAUUGGAUGACGUCGAAUUUCAUGAUAUCAUCAAGGUUGUCGUUAUCUCCGUACAUAGUAAGUCUUUCUUCACAUUUAUGUAUGAUUGCUGACUCACCCAUUCUCCAUUGCAUUUGCAUGUGCUGCCUUUUGAUUGAUUGCCCUUUUCUCUGUUUUUCUUUUUUUUUUUUUGCUUUGCUUUUUUUUUUUCUUUUAUGUCUAAAGGAAAAUUUUUUGUCUUUCUCAUUUGAGCAAUAGUCAUAUUUCUUUACCUAAUUGAAAAUUAAAAAUAAAAAUAAAUAAGGGAAAAUGGACUUUAAUUGAACAACUGAUGUGAGAUCUAGGUAUAGAAAUUUACAUUCACCAACUCUUCCUAACCGUCAAAUUUGAUGCAUUUUUCGAACCCAGCACCUUGUGCCAUGGAUCGAGCAUUCAUUCUACAAACAGAGUAAUUGAUGAAAUAAUUUAAUCGAGCUAUUGGAAGUUUCACCAACCUAAAGUAAUCAUUGUCCUUAACCCAUAAACAAAGGGCCCAAUGAUCAAUUAAUAUAAGCUUUUGGAAGUUCAACCAAUCCCCGUAAGUAUACCUCCAACACUAAGGUAGCUAUUAUGGGCUUGUGGGACCCGCAUACUUAAUGCCUAAGUUAAGUGUCACAUCACUAAUUUAAUUUUAGAUUGGCCACACUCCAAGUAAUUAAAAAAGAUAAUGUUAUUAGUUUACCAGAAGCAGUUGUGACGCCUUGGCACCCACCUCCGCUUGGCCAUUUUAAAUUAAAUGUUGAUGCAGUCAUGGGGGAUGGUGGUGUGGGGGCCGUCGAUGGGUUAUCGGUUGCAAUUGAGGCAGGACUGACAUUGUUCAGAGAUUAUUUAAUUUUUAGCUUCGUGGUUUAUGUUGUCCAACGCUAUCUCACCAUUGUUAUUUAAGAUUAUUUUCUGAAACAUUAUCUCACCCAUAUUAUUGUUCAAAAAGAAAUUAAAGUAAAAAGCAGAUGGCCAAUUUAUCUCUUGUAUCAAUUCUUCUAUUCCUCUUCUUCAUUUAUGGUAAAAAUAACCAUUUUUCUUAAGUGUUUUAUGUAGCAUUUUUGUACUUAAUUUAUGCAAUGCUAUAAAAGAUCAAAUUUGAAUUUUAAAGAAUUAUUAUUAUUAUUAUUAUUAUUAUUAUUAUUAUUAUUAUUAUUUAUCAGGAACUGGGAAGAUAAUUGCCGAGACUCAGGAGAUAGAGCUCUGCAAGACAGCUAUUAUGUCCCAAAAAGAAUUUUGCUUUUGAAGCAUCACUUUCCCAAAAAGAAAUUCCAAAAAUUAUGUCUAAUUAAAAUCUUUUAGAAUCUCCCCAAGGUUUGAUUGCAUGGUUUUUAAACAGUUAUAAGCAGUUUUCAAGAAAUUGUUUUUUAUUAGUACUGAUUUGAACCUUAAGGAAGUUUGAGUUAAAAAAAUUGAUUUGGACUUAAUGGACUCCCUUAUCUUUAAAAGAAAAUGUAUCCUGCAGAAUUCGAAAGAAAUAAUUAAAAAAAAAUAAAACAAUGGAAUAAUUCAGAAAGAGAAAAUAAGAAGCACAUGUAAAAAGUAUUUUUCUAAUGAAUUUAUUUCAAUUUUUUGAUUUUAUAAAUAAAAACUCAAGGGUGAAAAAUUUUAAUGAGUAACGGUCGUUAAUGAAAAAUUUUAAUGAGUAAGGGUUGUUAUAUAUUUAACGAUGAAAUUAAAAGAAAAUAGUGUAAAUGAAAAAAAAAAAUAACAGAAGCGAUGAGAGUGAUUCUGAGAAGAGUUAGAGAUUAUUGUGGGUUGUCUAUGGUAUAGAGUAGGAAGAUUAAGUUAAAUAAAUUAGUUUGAUUUAUCUAAAUAAAUUAUUUCAUUAUAAAAUAGAAUUUACUCAUUGGUAAAGUACUGUAUAGAUGUUUUGGUUUUAUAUAAAUUUAUUAGAAGAGAUGAAUAUAAGGAGUAUUUUUAUCGAAUUCAAAAAGCUCAUAACUUUUCACUUGUAAUCAAUUUUUCUACCAUAAAUUUUUGUAUGAUUUUGGUCCCUAUGGGUAGAAGAAUUUAAAGGGGGCCAAAAUCAUAGAGGUAAACGUUUAGGGGUCAAAGUCUAAAAAGAGUAAAUUAUUUUGGUAAAAUGUCAAGAUAAAUUAAAGUUUCAGAGCCACCUCCCGCCUUUUUUUCAUUUAGCAAAAUAAUACUUUCAUGUAUUAUGCCGAGGUAGAUGUGAUGGACCUUUUUAAUAUUUAAAUUUUAUGAUAAAUAAUGAUGUGUCAUUUAUAAGAGAAAUUUUAUAAUAUAUUAGAGGUAGUACAUCAACUAAUACAUGUAUGACAUGUAUAUAUAGACUUGAUAUAACCUUUAUUUGCAUAAUAAUUUUUUAAAAUAAAUGUACAUAUAUUAUAAUAUAACUUGUUUAUUGUAUACCUGAUAUGAUACAUCUGAUUUAUUUUAGAAUUUUUCAUGUGAUUAAAAUUUUUUAUAAAGUUCUAAAUAAAUUAUUUUAUACCUGACAUUACUAUUGAAGAAUAUAUUGACAGAUAUUGUGGAAUAUUUAUAUGUAACUUAUUAGAAUUUAUACAAAAAUUGCAUAUAAAAUUACGAGAGCUUCUGUUCACUUUAAAUUAAUCAAUCUAACAAGAAUUUAAUUAAGGCUUCAUGCAUAUAACAAAGGCGAAGUGUAAGUUGUAAAAAGGCCAAAAAAAAAAUGUAUUGACAAUUUUCCAUUCUAGAUUCUAAAUUUCAAUAAACAUCUAAUUUAUCAACAAGCAUGUUCGUUCUUUUUAUGAUUGAAUGUUGAAAUAAACAGUGUAAGAUCCAUCUCUUAUGCUUGGUAAUGGCACCAAAAGAAAACUCCUCUUUGCUCCCUUUGCAACAAAGCGGAUAGGAUGAUAAUUCUUUUUCCAUUGCGAAGCAAACUACACUGUUAUAUCCAAACUCUGUUGACACUGAAUUGCAACUGACCUUCAUGCUUUCGCCCGAUUUCAAGUUAACACUAGUAGAAACGAAGCAACCCUUUUGGGUUACUGACUCCAAGGCUACUGUUUCAGCCUUUCCAUCCCAUCCGGUAACAAGGCGAAAAAUGGAGGAGCCAUGAACACUAGAAGAGUCUGCGACAACAAGUUCAUCAUCUGUUCCUUGCACUACAAGCAUUCCUGGGGAAGCAAAUAGUUCUAGCAUGACUGAUCUGCCAAUUGCAUCGCUGAGGGAUGAAAAUUCGGAGGAAGGUUUAUCGUUUAAGAUGAAUCUUAAAGUGGCUUGAAGGGCAAUGUCAGUGCCAGAUUUAGGGGAUUCUGCCAUUGGAAUAGAUUGUCAAGACAAAAGUCGAGUUUCUGGAAACUUUGGAAAAUGUGACCAGCUGAAAUUAUAUGAUGCAGGAAUUGGAGCAACAACUUCUGAAAGAGAUGUUGCUGAUUCAGUCCUGAUAUCGGAGUCCCCAUUGCUGUAGCUCGUAGGCAGAUAAGACCGUGGUGAAUGGCCGAUCAGCUGAAGAAGAAAAAAGAUUUUCAGUCAAAGAUUUUUCAUUGAUAACAGAAAUUGUAAACAAAACAGUUCAUGAAGAUUCCAUCGAUAGGCUCUGUCCUUAGAAUAAGGGGCAGCUGAAUGGUUAAUUUGUCAUCAUAUGUCCAUGCUGUGGUGAUACUUGGAAAUUUCGUGCAUCGGGAAUGUAACUGUUUGUUACAUGUCUUUAUAAAAGAUGAAACCCCACUUUUAAUUUUUCUAUCUGAAAUAAAAAAUUGAAAAACAAUCAAAGAUAUUAUAAUUCAGCACCUGCCGAUGGUAGAGGCAAAUCCUGGCCAUUUAAUGUUGCCUUUGCUCCAUUAGUAUUUGUCCACCUCGAUAUUCUGAAACCAAAGGAUAGUGAUCGAGCUGCUCCCUGGAUAUACAUCAAAUCCAGAAUGUGUGAUGGAUGAACUUCUCAUUACAAUGUUAAAAAAUAAACACCAAGUUUGAUAGCCAGUACCUUAGGAAGAAAUGUGAAUGUGAUAUGACGAUAAGGAUCUGAAGAAACAACAGGAUCAACUUUCUGGUUGGGCAGAAUAUGUCCAGAUUUCCAAUCAAGUGAGCUCGAUAUGUACCGAAUGAUGUAAAGACCAGGAUAUAAUCCUUCCUCUUCAAAGUAAAUUGAAUAUCCCAACUUUGCGAAUGACUUAAUUCCUCCAUGGGAAACAAGAAUAAAAUCUAGUAUACCAAUUGGCGGAAACUGUGCAAAUUUAGAAAGCAACUCAUGAGAUUCAAGAACAUUGAGAGUAAAGAGAAAAAAUGGGCAAUGAAUACCAGACAUGUGCCAUAACAGCACCAGAAUGAAUUUAAUUAAUGCGUAAACAAAUUUUAUUCAACUUUAUUUCUAAUCCAGUCAUUAACAUUCUUAUAGCAAUUUAACUCUAAGAUUUACCUAACACAUACGACUACUUUUAAAACUCACGACACUUUUUAAAAUAAAUUUUACUAAAUGUUUAAUUGAUUCUCUUUACAGUUGAAUAUAUUUAUAAUACAGCUAACAAUAAUUAUUUUAAAAAAUACAUCAUUACCAAAUAGGCCGCCAAUAAUUGGAAAACUAAUUGUAGCAUUAACAAACUCUACAUUCACCAACCUUUAUUUAUCUUUGAUUUUCCUAUAGAGUCUAUAUUACCCAAAAUGUUAAAGAUUAAACCAGCAUACAAGAAGCAACUAGAAGAAAGUAAACGAUAUGAUCACUGACGAUUACCAUUCAUGAUCAUUGAUUUAUGAGAUUGUGCAAGACAGUGGUGGAUUUCCUUCACAGGUGGAAUCUAACGACCACGGGUGCAAAUGAACAGCGACCACAAGUGCAAUAUGAACAGCGACCACAAGUGCAAUCUGACCAGCGACCUCUCCAAUAAACUCUAUUAUGGCAGCUACCACCCCAGCUCUCAUACACUAGUCUUGCAUAGAUCACAAUGCCUCUCUUGCCCCAAGCCAAGCUGGUGACACGGUCCCCAACCAUGACCCUCAGAACAUUGCUUGCAACAUACCCUAACCGAUGUGUAACACGGCACUGGCACCAGGGGUGGUAGUGGUGGUUUUGGGUUUUCCCCAUCCGGUUGUGGCGGGUUUUUUUUUAUCCCCAUCCGGUUGUGGUGGUUUUUUGUUAUCCCCAUUCGGUUGUGGCGGGUUUUUUUUAUCCCCAUCCGGUUGUGGCGGUUUUUUGUUAUCCCCAUCCAGUUGUGGUGGUCUAGGGUUAGGCUUUUUAUCAGGUUCCAGGAUUUCAAUAGUCUUGAUUGAACCAUCACCUUUGCAGCAUAGCUUGUCCCUGGUCUUUCAGGACUGCAGCACACUACUUUUAUUGUCA